UUCAGCAUAGCAUUGUGGUUUGAGUUCUGGACUGCAACUCUGGAGACCAGGGUUCGAUUCCCAGCUCAAC
rnacentral:tRNA from 1 species